UAUUUAGGGGUUCCUGUUGCGGGACAGGGGAUCAGAUGUUGAGAGUUUGGACAAACUCAUGAAAACAAAAAUGUAACUGAAGCUCACCAAGAGGCAUUUAAAACUGGUUUUGCAGAGGGUUUUCUGAAAGCUCAAGCCCUAACGCAAAAAACCAAUGAUUUUCUGAGAUGAACUCGUCUGAUUCUCUUCGUUCUGCUGCUGUUUGGCAUUUAUGGACUCUUAAAAAAUCCAUUUUUAUCUGUCCGCUUCCGGACAACAAUGGGGCUUGACUCUGCAGUAGAUCCCGUCCAGAUGAAAAAUGUCAACUUUGAACAUGUUAAAGGAGAAUUUCGUGGGUGAUGGCACUGUCAUUUGUACGAGGCCACUCUGGUGGGCUCCUGGGUGGGGCUGGACACUAGAAGAAACGAAGCCAUGAUUAGAACCUUGGAAGUUUUAGCUUCACUGUGUAUUCUCCAGCCCUCUUUUAGGUAUUGGGACAGAAGAAAUAAAUCUCUGCUGUCAUUUCUAACAGAAACUAAACCAUGAUAUUGCAUAUAAGGAAAUAAUAGAGUAUGCUCAAAUGUGACGAAGUCUUAUGGGAAAAAUAUGGAGCAGCAUGAAGAAGAUUGGGAG